UACGGAGGGUGCAAGCGUUAUCCGGAUUCACUGGGUUUAAAGGGUGCGUAGGCGGCCCUGUAAGUCAGGAGUGAAAGUUUGCGGCUCAACCGUAAAAUUGCUUUUGAUACUGCGGGGCUAGAAUUAGGAUGAGGUCAGCGGAAUGUGGCAUGUAGCGGUGAAAUGCAUAGAUAUGCCAUAGAACACCAAUUGCGAAGGCAGCUGGCUAGACCUGGAUUGACGCUGAGGCACGAAAGCGUGGGGAGCGAACAGG
rnacentral:rRNA from 1 species